GGAUCAUAAAUCACAAAAUAUUAUCUUCCAAAUCCAAUCAAGAAUGGAACAACAUCUAUGAGGUAGAGGUACAUCAACCAAUCAAACUCAUGCUGAACCCCCAUAGCUUCUUUGCCAACUCCAUGUCCUUAGCUUGUGAAGUGGUUUUGGCUAGGUUACUAUCAG